rnacentral:misc_RNA from 1 species
AAAUCGCGAUAUGUAGUGUGAUCUGCCUAUAGUGAAUCAUCAAAUUUUUGAACGCAUCUUGCACCCAUGGGUAUUCCUGUGGGUACGCCUGUUUCAGUAUCAUUAUAACUUCUCUUCAACCUAGUUGUUGAUUGGAAAUAUCACUAUUGGCUCCGAGUCGACUGUUGUCGGCUUCACAGCUUGAAUCUAUGGUUUCAUAUAACUGAUUAUUACCCUUUGGUAGAUUAACCUACUAAAAGACCUCAGUCAGUCAUAUUCCAAACCAGGUCUACAUUUAGUGACCACAACCUCAUAACUUGAUCUGAAAUCAGGUGGGAUUACCCGCUGAACUUAA